rnacentral:rRNA from 1 species
ACGCUAGCUACAGGCUUAACACAUGCAAGUCGAGGGGCAGCAUGGUCUUAGCUUGCUAAGGCCGAUGGCGACCGGCGCACGGGUGAGUAACACGUAUCCAACCUGCCGUCUACUCUUGGACAGCCUUCUGAAAGGAAGAUUAAUACAAGAUGGCAUCAUGAGUCCGCAUGUUCACAUGAUUAAAGGUAUUCCGGUAGACGAUGGGGAUGCGUUCCAUUAGAUAGUAGGCGGGGUAACGGCCCACCUAGUCUUCGAUGGAUAGGGGUUCUGAGAGGAAGGUCCCCCACAUUGGAACUGAGACACGGUCCAAACUCCUACGGGAGGCAGCAGUGAGGAAUAUUGGUCAAUGGGCGAGAGCCUGAACCAGCCAAGUAGCGUGAAGGAUGACUGCCCUAUGGGUUGUAAACUUCUUUUAUAAAGGAAUAAAGUCGGGUAUGGAUACCCGUUUGCAUGUACUUUAUGAAUAAGGAUCGGCUAACUCCGUGCCAGCAGCCGCGGUAAUACGGAGGAUCCGAGCGUUAUCCGGAUUUAUUGGGUUUAAAGGGAGCGUAGAUGGAUGUUUAAGUCAGUUGUGAAAGUUUGCGGCUCAACCGUAAAAUUGCAGUUGAUACUGGAUAUCUUGAGUGCAGUUGAGGCAGGCGGAAUUCGUGGUGUAGCGGUGAAAUGCUUAGAUAUCACGAAGAACUCCGAUUGCGAAGGCAGCCUGCUAAGCUGCAACUGACAUUGAGGCUCGAAAGUGUGGGUAUCAAACAGGAUUAGAUACCCUGGUAGUCCACACGGUAAACGAUGAAUACUCGCUGUUUGCGAUAUACGGCAAGCGGCCAAGCGAAAGCGUUAAGUAUUCCACCUGGGGAGUACGCCGGCAACGGUGAAACUCAAAGGAAUUGACGGGGGCCCGCACAAGCGGAGGAACAUGUGGUUUAAUUCGAUGAUACGCGAGGAACCUUACCCGGGCUUAAAUUGCAGAUGAAUUACGGUGAAAGCCGUAAGCCGCAAGGCAUCUGUGAAGGUGCUGCAUGGUUGUCGUCAGCUCGUGCCGUGAGGUGUCGGCUUAAGUGCCAUAACGAGCGCAACCCUUGUUGUCAGUUACUAACAGGUUCUGCUGAGGACUCUGACAAGACUGCCAUCGUAAGAUGUGAGGAAGGUGGGGAUGACGUCAAAUCAGCACAGCCCUUACGUCCGGGGCUACACACGUGUUACAAUGGGGGGUACAGAGGGCCGCUACCACGCGAGUGGAUGCCAAUCCCCAAAACCUCUCUCAGUUCGGACUGGAGUCUGCAACCCGACUCCACGAAGCUGGAUUCGCUAGUAAUCGCGCAUCAGCCACGGCGCGGUGAAUACGUUCCCGGGCCUUGUACACACCGCCCGUCAAGCCAUGGGAGCCGGGGGUACCUGAAGUGCGUAACCGCGGGGAGCGCCCUAGGGUAAAACUGGUGACUGGG